rnacentral:pre_miRNA from 1 species
ACAACAGAGACAGCAGAGACAGUAGAGACAGAGAGACAGAGAGACAGUUCUCUACUGUCUCUACUGUCUCUGCUGUCUCUACUGUCCC